rnacentral:rRNA from 1 species
UACGUAGGGCGCAAGCGUUGUCCGGAAUUAUGGGGCGUAAAGAGCUCGUAGGUGGCUUGUCGCGUCUGCCGUGAAAGCCCAUGGCUUAACUGUGGGUCUGCGGUGGAUACGGGCAGGCUGGAGGCUGGUAGGGGCAAGCGGAAUUCCUGGUGUAGCGGUGAAAUGCGCAGAUAUCAGGAGGAACACCGGUGGCGAAGGCGGCUUGCUGGGCCAGUUCUGACGCUGAGGAGCGAAAGCGUGGGGAGCGAACAGG